rnacentral:rRNA from 1 species
AAGUCUUGACAUCCUGCGACGAGUACAGAAAUGUGCUUUUCCUUCGGGACGCAGAGACAGGUGGUGCAUGGUUGUCGUCAGCUCGUGUCGUGAGAUGUUGGGUUAAGUCCCGCAACGAGCGCAACCCUUAUGGAUAGUUACUACGCAAGAGGACUCUAUUCAGACUGCCGUUGACAAAACGGAGGAAGGUGGGGAUGACGUCAAAUCAUCAUGCCCUUUAUGACUUGGGCUACACACGUACUACAAUGGCGUUCAACAAAGAGAAGCGAAGCCGCGAGGCAGAGCAAAACUCAAAAACAACGUCCCAGUUCAGAUUGCAGGCUGCAACUCGCCUGCAUGAAGUCGGAAUUGCUAGUAAUCGCAGAUCAGCAUGCUGCGGUGAAUACGUUCCCGGGCC